GUAUUGUUUGGGCAGCACAUAUGAUAAUUGGAAUCGAUACAGAGAAAGCUUAGCACGGCCCCUGCAGCAGGAUGACACACAAAUUCGUGAUACAGACUAUACAGUA